rnacentral:rRNA from 1 species
AUUGAACGCUGGCGGCAGGCCUAACACAUGCAAGUCGAACGAGUGGCGGACGGGUGAGUAAUGUAUGGGGAACUGCCUGAUGGAGGGGGAUAACUACUGGAAACGGUAGCUAAUACCGCAUACCAUCCGAUGAGCCCAUAUGGGAUUAGCUAGUAGGUGGGGUAAUGGCUCACCUAGGCGACGAUCCCUAGCUGGUCUGAGAGGAUGACCAGCCACACUGGAACUGAGACACGGCCCAGACUCCUACGGGAGGCAGCAGUGGUGAAUAUUGCACAAUGGUCGCAAGCCUGAUGCAGCCAUGCCGCGUGUAUGAAGAAGGCCUUCGGGUUGUAAAGCACUUUCAGCGGGGAGGCGUUACUCGCAGAAGAAGCACCGGCUAACUCCGUGCCAGCAGCCGCGGUAAUUC